UCUCCGUGGGUGAACUUGCGGAGAGAUCAUUGCUGAGUGAGGGCUUCGGUCCGACCUCCAACCCUUUGUGAACCAAACUUGUUGCUUCGGGGGCGACCCUGCCGCUUCGGCGGUGCGGCGCCCCCGGAGGCCAUUAAACACUGCAUCAUUGCGUCGGAGUUAAAGUAAAUUAAACAAAACUUUCAACAACGGAUCUCUUGGUUCCAGCAUCGAUGAAGAACGCAGC
rnacentral:misc_RNA from 1 species